rnacentral:rRNA from 1 species
UACAGAGGUCCCAAGCGUUGUUCGGAUUUACUGGGCGUAAAGGGUGCGUAGGCGGUUGGGUAAGUCUGACGUGAAAUCUCCGGGCCUAACCCGGAAACUGCGUUGGAUACUACCUGACUAGAGGAAUGGAGGGGAGACUGGAAUACUUGGUGUAGCAGUGAAAUGCGUAGAUAUCAAGUGGAACACCAGUGGCGAAGGCGAGUCUCUGGGCCGAUACUGACGCUGAGGAGCGAAAGCGUGGGGAGCGAACAGG